GAUUAUGGCUCAGAUUGAACGCUGGCGGCAGGCUUAACACAUGCAAGUCGAACGGUAACAUAAAGAAGCUUGCUUCUUUGAUGACGAGUGGCGGACGGGUGAGUAAUGCUUGGGAAUCUAGCUUAUGGAGGGGGAUAACUACGGGAAACUGUAGCUAAUACCGCGUAGAAUCGAGAGAUGAAAGUGUGGGACCUUCGGGCCACAUGCCAUAGGAUGAGCCCAAGUGGGGAUUAGGUAGUUGGG
rnacentral:rRNA from 1 species